rnacentral:ncRNA from 2 species
AUCAGCGGAUUCAAUGUUGGUGCUCGCAACUUGGUUCACAAGUGUGCAGUUCAACGGGAAGCAGGGCGAUGCGGCGAAUCCUUCGCGUACAUCUAGCCUGCGCUGCCCCCGCAACGGUGAGUUCCUGGUGUCAGAUCUGGCACCCAGCCAUCCACGCAGCCACUGAAUGCCUUGAACAAGCAUUUGGGAAGGCGAUGGUCUUGACGAACCAGCCCGGAUACCGGCCAACAUCAGGUGUAGCAC